rnacentral:rRNA from 1 species
AUUGAACGCUGGCGGCAUGCCUUACACAUGCAAGUCGAACGGUAACAGGUCUUCGGAUGCUGACGAGUGGCGAACGGGUGAGUAAUGCAUCGGAACGUGCCCAGUAGUGGGGGAUAGCCCGGCGAAAGCCGGAUUAAUACCGCAUACGACCUGAGGGUGAAAGGGGGGGAUCGCAAGACCUCUCGCUAUUGGAGCGGCCGAUGUCAGAUUAGCUAGUUGGUGGGGUAAAGGCCGACCAAGGCAACGAUCUGUAGUUGGUCUGAGAGGACGACCAGACACACUGGGACUGAGACACGGCCCAGACUCCUACGGGAGGCAGCAGUGGGGAAUUUUGGACAAUGGGCGCAAGCCUGAUCCAGCAAUGCCGCGUGCAGGAAGAAGGCCUUCGGGUUGUAAACUGCUUUUGUCAGGGAAGAAAUCUUCUGGGUUAAUACCUCGGGAGGAUGACGGUACCUGAAGAAUAAGCACCGGCUAACUACGUGCCAGCCGCCGCAGUAACAC